UGUUGGGUGGGCUUCGUGAUUGCACAC
rnacentral:sRNA from 1 species